GUCUUCGUGGCUCAGUUGGUUAGAGCGUUGGUCUCAUAUUCACUAUGACUCAACCGUAGGUUGGGAUAUCCAAAGGUCGUGAGUUCGAGCCUCACCGAGGACA
rnacentral:tRNA from 1 species